UGAUUUGGCAGUUUAUUCUGGGUAAUGGAGAAGGUCCAAAGAAAAAAAAUCAUUGUCUACUUGGAACAAUUUAUAAGGAAGAAAAAAUAGGAGGAAAAUAAUCAGGAAAAAGUGACAUAUAAUUCACUUCGAUAUAAUUUGGGAUUGACAGAUCUUGAACACUUCUUAAUCUGACUUGCAGGUGGUGAUCUGCUGCCAGAAUAAAUAAAUUUCAGAAAGUGCCAAAGCUGCUCAGCCGUUUGCUGUGAUAUCACUCCUACAUAAGGAACUUGUAUCACCAACUUUCUUCAAGUAUCUCCUCCAUUAUGAUGACACGUAGGUUGAAUUCAAAAGUGCAGGAAAAGAGCUCUGCCUGCAAAAGGAGCCUGCACUCCAGAGGGUUUGCUCUAAACUAUUGUGAGACCUCCGGCUACAACACAGGACAUGGGAGCUUUUCUGAACCCUCGUGUCUUGUGUUGCAGCCAGAGGGGCACAUCUUUUCAACCGAGUCUGAGACAAGUAGAAGAAACCGUCAUGAAAGAGGUGUAAAGAAGGAGUGAGAAGUGGGUGCGGGACUUCUCUGAACAUCUGAGAGAAGCAGACUCAGGAAUGUGAUCCAUGGCGUUAGCUGGUGGAGCUCCCAAAUCCAGAGGAGAUGUCAGAUUUCUGCCAGCUCUUGCAUGCAGAUUGAGAGAUCUAAAUCAGGUAGUAAAAGUUACUGUGCUUACAAUGCCACUGGCAUUGGUCUUUCUUUUCCUUUCUGCAAAUUUGACUAGAGUCAUUGAAUUAAACUCUAGAUGCUUUGCAAGUAUUUAAUGAUCUGUCCGUUUGAGACUCAGCACUUUUGUUCCUGUUUUUCAGCAGUUGUGAGCAUGAACUUUCAGGAGGAAUAGAAUUAAGCAGCCUCAAGUACUUUGAGCAGAGGACAUGCCUAUGAUUAACACUGACAUUUUUUGUUUCUCACUGGGACAAAUUUUUCCUUCUUCGGGAUCUGACUUCAGGGUAAGCCUCAGCUUGAGGAGAUGCUGCAGCACAAACCCCUUGGUUUCGCUUAACUUUGCCUUUUGCUCAAUACAGUGCAUGCCAGUCUGUUCCAUCUAAUCAAUUAUUAAAGUAUACACAACUGAAAUCUUCCUUUUUCCUUCAUUAGACUGGAUAAACCAGUACAUAAGCUUAAAUAUCUGCAUUAAAAAAAAUGUGUAUGCUGCUGAAAUGCCUAUAAGGUGACUUUGGGUUGUUAAAAUGGGUGAUUAAAAAUGCCCUAGUUCUAAUCCUCCAAUUUUCUACAUCUUGUAGAAACUGAAAAUGUAUGUCUCACCAUGUGGCAACAACCAUGGUUGAGUUUUUGGGAUGAGGUCUGAAAAGUUUAGAUUAUGUUUCCAAACUGUCUAUGAACUUUCAGGUGCUGCCCCAUUCUGUAUUCGUGCAUUUCAUUGGCAAUACACACAAAACAAGUCUCUUCUCAAAGAAUUAAAACCAGCAGAAGCUGAUCCUUGGAUCUCAUCACAAGAGUGAAUGUUUUUGAAGACUCUCCUACCUGAUAAAGAUUGUGUUUUGGUAGUCAGAUAUAGAUUGCUAUUUCCCAUGAGCAAAAUAAAAUUAAAAAAAAAAGUUAUAUGAAAGGUAAA
ensembl:lncRNA